rnacentral:rRNA from 1 species
GAUGAACGCUAGCUACAGGCUUAACACAUGCAAGUCGAGGGGAAACGACAUCGAAAGCUUGCUUUUGAUGGGCGUCGACCGGCGCACGGGUGAGUAACGCGUAUCCAACCUGCCCAUCACUUGGGAAUAACCUUGCGAAAGUAAGACUAAUACCCAAUGAUAUCCCACGAAGGCAUCGGAAUGGGAUUAAAGAUUUAUCGGUGAUGGAUGGGGAUGCGUCUGAUUAGCUUGUUGGCGGGGUAACGGCCCACCAAGGCAACGAUCAGUAGGGGUUCUGAGAGGAAGGUCCCCCACAUUGGAACUGAGACACGGUCCAAACUCCUACGGGAGGCAGCAGUGAGGAAUAUUGGUCAAUGGGCGAGAGCCUGAACCAGCCAAGUAGCGUGCAGGAAGACGGCCCUAUGGGUUGUAAACUGCUUUUAUAAGGGAAUAAAGUGGGUCACGUGUGACUUUUUGCAUGUACCUUAUGGAUAAGAACCGGCUAAUUCCGUG